UUUCUUUUUUUUUUUUUGUUUAUAAUAUUUUGUUUAUUAUUAAAUUCAUUGUUCAAUUAUUUUAGGCACAGUUUUAGAGUUUUUAAUCAGCACUUUUUAUUGUUUUUUUUUGUUUUCCAUUUUACCUUGCCUUUAAACUUGACAGAAAAAUUCAUACCUAACAUUUCACAUAUUAACUAAGAAUUCUUUCAGUGCUUGCAAUAGUUAUUUAUGACUAAAGUAAGCGACAACAAAGACAUUUGUUUUUAAAAGUAUAUUCAUUUCAGACUUUUUCAUUUUGGAAACAUGUUUCUUAGGAUAGAAAUGUUCUAUACAAAGAAAUAAUUUGCACAGCAGGUUUUCUCUUUUUGUUUUCAUUGUUUUAUUUAUUUUAUUUUUGUUGUAAAAUCUCAUUGCUUAGUUGUUGGGUUUAUUUUAUUUUACCAUAGUUUGUAUGUUUAAAUGAGCUACUUAUGAAUUAAUUCCCUUUAAAAGGCUACUAUGUAUGCUUCUUCAAAAUCCAUCUCUUUUUUUAGAUUGUGAUGAUGGCCCACAAAAUGUUUUGUGCAAAGCAUAUUAUUAGCUAUGUGAAACUAGUCUGAAUAAGAAUUCAAAGUCUAGUUUUAAGUUUUAACAAAUAAUCCAAUGCACAAUUUUUUUUUAAACUAUAAAUGUUAAUAAAUUAAAGGUAUCUUAGGAUUACUAUGCAGAUACCCUAUAAAAACCUUAGCCAAAAAACUUUCUACCUGAUAGUUUUAAAAAAAAUAAAUGCUGCUACAAUAUCUUUUUCAAUGAUUCUGAAAUAUAAUUUCAUUUUUUUUUUAUUUCAAAUUUCCAAUUAGAUCUAACAUGGGAGCAUUGUGGCUGAGGGUUAAAGUGCUUGGCUUCUGAACCGUCUCUGUGAGACUGGGAUUUUUAAUUUCUUGACUUUUAGGACACCCCUGGGUCCACCCAUCUCCAGUGACUUUAGUUGGGAGAAAGUAAAAGCAAUUGGUCAUUUGCUGGCCACUACAUCCACAUUAACUAUCAGCCAUAGAAACAUGACCUUUAAUCAUCCUCUCUAUUGAUCAGAAGGCCUGAAAGGUGGACCUACAUUAUUAUAAGAUCAAAAGGUCUGAAAGGGAUGCUUUACUUACAGCGUCGCACACACACA